CCUACGGGUGGCAGCAGUGAGGAAUAUUGGUCAAUGGGCGGGAGCCUGAACCAGCCAAGUCGCGUGAGGGACGACGGUCCUAUGGAUUGUACACCUCUUUUGUCGGGGAACAAAGGCGCCCACGGGUGGGCGGCUGAGUGUACCCGAAGAAAAAGCAUCGGCUAACUCCGUGCCAGCAGCCGCGGUAAUACGGAGGAUGCGAGCGUUAUCCGGAUUUAUUGGGUUUAAAGGGUGCGUAGGCGGACAGUCAAGUCAGCGGUAAAAAUGCGGUGCUCAACGCCGUACAGCCGUGGAAACUGGCAGCCUUGAGUGGGCGAGAAGUAUGCGGAAGGCGUGGUGUAGCGGUGAAAUGCAUAGAUAUCACGCAGAACUCCGAUUGCGAAGGCAGCAUACCGGCGCCCUACUGACGCUGAGGCACGAAAGCGUGGGUAUCGAACAGGAUUAGAUACCCUAGUAGUC
rnacentral:rRNA from 1 species